UGGCUCUCGCAUNGAUGAAGAACGCAGCGAAGCGCGAAAUGUAGUGUGAAUCGCAGAACAUUGUGAAUCAUCGAAUCUUUGAACGCACAUUGCGCCUCUCGUAACUGGGAGGCAUGCCUGUCUGAGCUUCAUUUAAUCCAAUAAACCCGAAUGGGUUUGUGCUGGGCCCCGCCUGUUGGCGUCGCCUCAAAGUCAUCUGUCUUACAAGCGGACGAGAUCCACUAGGACUAACCGUCUGUGGGACCCUAAAAUCUCUUGACUUGAACUCAGAUCAGGUAGGACUACCGCCUGA
rnacentral:misc_RNA from 1 species